rnacentral:rRNA from 1 species
GACGAACGCUGGCGGCGCGCCUAACACAUGCAAAUCGAACGAGCAAUGGAGAGCUUGCUUUCCAGAGCGAGUGGCGAACGGGUGAGUAACGCGUGAGGAACCUGCCUCAAAGAGGGGGACAACAGUUGGAAACGACUGCUAAUACCGCAUAAGCCCACGGGUCGGCAUCGACCAGAGGGAAAAGGAGCAAUCCGCUUUGAGAUGGCCUCGCGUCCGAUUAGCUAGUUGGUGAGGUAAUGGCCCACCAAGGCAACGAUCGGUAGCCGGACUGAGAGGUUGAACGGCCACAUUGGGACUGAGACACGGCCCAGACUCCUACGGGAGGCAGCAGUGGGGAAUAUUGCACAAUGGGGGAAACCCUGAUGCAGCGACGCCGCGUGGAGGAAGAAGGUCUUCGGAUUGUAAACUCCUGUUGUUGGGGAAGAUAAUGACGGUACCCAACAAGGAAGUGACGGCUAACUACGUGCCAGCAGCCGCGGUAAAACGUAGGUCACAAGCGUUGUCCGGAAUUACUGGGUGUAAAGGGAGCGCAGGCGGGAAGACAAGUUGGAAGUGAAAUCUAUGGGCUCAACCCAUAAACUGCUUUCAAAACUGUUUUUCUUGAGUAGUGCAGAGGUAGGCGGAAUUCCCGGUGUAGCGGUGGAAUGCGUAGAUAUCGGGAGGAACACCAGUGGCGAAGGCGGCCUACUGGGCACCAACUGACGCUGAGGUUCGAAAGUGUGGGUAGCAAACAGGAUUAGAUACCCUGGUAGUCCACACCGUAAACGAUGAUUACUAGGUGUUGGAGGAUUGACCCCUUCAGUGCCGCAGUUAACACAAUAAGUAAUCCACCUGGGGAGUACGACCGCAAGGUUGAAACUCAAAGGAAUUGACGGGGGCCCGCACAAGCAGUGGAGUAUGUGGUUUAAUUCGACGCAACGCGAAGAACCUUACCAAGUCUUGACAUCCCUUGACAGACAUAGAAAUAUGUUUUCUCUUCGGAGCAAGGAGACAGGUGGUGCAUGGUUGUCGUCAGCUCGUGUCGUGAGAUGUUGGGUUAAGUCCCGCAACGAGCGCAACCCUUAUGGUCAGUUACUACGCAAGAGGACUCUGGCCAGACUGCCGUUGACAAAACGGAGGAAGGUGGGGAUGACGUCAAAUCAUCAUGCCCUUUAUGACUUGGGCUACACACGUACUACAAUGGCGUUAAACAAAGAGAAGCAAGACCGCGAGGUGGAGCAAAACUCAGAAACAACGUCCCAGUUCGGACUGCAGGCUGCAACUCGCCUGCACGAAGUCGGAAUUGCUAGUAAUCGUGGAUCAGCAUGCCACGGUGAAUACGUUCCCGGGCCUU